UCUUUCAGGGCAGGGUGCAAUUCCCGACCGGCGGUAAAGUCCGCGAACCGCUCCGCAGCUGUUGCAGCUCGGGCGGCCGACCCAGGUGAAACUCCGGGACCGACAGUACAGUCUGGAUGGAAGAAGAC
rnacentral:ncRNA from 1 species